UACGUAGGGUGCGAGCGUUGUCCGGAAUUACUGGGCGUAAAGAGCUCGUAGGUGGUUUGUCGCGUUGUCCGUGAAAACUCACAACUCAAUUGUGGGCGUGCGGGCGAUACGGGCAGACUGGAGUACUGCAGGGGAGACUGGAAUUCCUGGUGUAGCGGUGGAAUGCGCAGAUAUCAGGAGGAACACCGGUGGCGAAGGCGGCGACCUGGGUAGAUACUGACGCUGAGGUGCGAAAGCGUGGGGAGCAAACAGG
rnacentral:rRNA from 1 species